rnacentral:rRNA from 1 species
UUAGGAAUCUUGCGCAAUGGGCGAAAGCCUGACGCAGCGACGCCGCGUGAGCGAUGAAGUCUUUCGGGAUGUAAAGCUCUGUCCUGCGGGGAAGAAGAAUGUGACGGUACCCGCAGAGAAAGCCCCGGCUAACUACGUGCCAGCAGCCGCGGUAAUACGUAGGGGGCGAGCGUUGUCCGAAUUUACUGGGCGUAAAGCGCGUGUAGGCGGUUCUUUAAGUCAGAUGUGAAAUCCUGUGGCUCAACCACAGAACUGCAUUUGAAACUGAAGGGCUUGAGUGUGGGAGAGGAAAGUGGAAUUCCUGGUGUAGCGGUGAAAUGCGUAGAUAUCAGGAGGAACACCCGUGGCGAAGGCGGCUUUCUGGCCCACCACUGACGCUGAGACGCGAAAGCUAGGGGAGCGAACGGG